CCUACGGGAGGCAGCAGUGGGGAAUAUUGCACAAUGGGGGAAACCCUGAUGCAGCGACGCCGCGUGAGUGAAGAAGUAAUUCGUUAUGUAAAGCUCUAUCAGCAGGGAAGAAAAUGACGGUACCUGAGUAAGAAGCCCCGGCUAACUACGUGCCAGCAGCCGCGGUAAUACGUAGGGGGCAAGCGUUAUCCGGAUUUACUGGGUGUAAAGGGAGCGUAGACGGCAGUGCAAGUCUGGAGUGAAAGGCGGGGGGUCAACCCCCGGACUGCUCUGGAAACUGUACGGCUGGAGUGCAGGAGAGGUAAGUGGAAUUCCUGGUGUAGCGGUGAAAUGCGUAGAUAUUAGGAGGAACACCAGUGGCGAAGGCGGCUUACUGGACUGUAACUGACGUUGAGGCUCGAAAGCGUGGGGAGCAAACAGGAUUAGAUACCCCAGUAGUC
rnacentral:rRNA from 1 species